AGCCGCCGCGGUAACACCGGCGGCCCGAGUGGUGAUCGUGAUUAUUGGGUCUAAAGGGUCCGUAGCCGGUUUGGUCAGUCCUCCGGGAAAUCUGAUAGCUCAACUAUUAUGCUUUCGGGGGAUACUGCCAGACUUGGAACCGGGAGAGGUAAGAGGUACUACAGGGGUAGGAGUGAAAUCUUGUAAUCCCUGUGGGACCACCUGUGGCGAAGGCGUCUUACCAGAACGGGUUCGACGGUGAGGGACGAAAGCUGGGGGCACGAACCGGAUUAGAUACCCGGGUAGUCCCAGCCGUAAACGAUGCUCGCUAGGUGUCAGGCAUGGCGCGACCGUGUCUGGUGCCGCAGGGAAGCCGUGAAGCGAGCCACCUGGGAAGUACGGCCGCAAGGCUGAAACUUAAAGGAAUUGGCGGGGGAGCACAACAACGGGUGGAGCCCUGCGGUUUAAUUGGACUCAACGCCGGACAACUCACCGGGGGUGACAGCAAUAUGUAGGCCAAGCUGAAGACUUUGCCUGAAUCGCUGAGAGGUGGUGCAUGG
rnacentral:rRNA from 1 species